GGCCUCUUGGUGCUUACCACAGGCUCUGUUCUUCACAUUGCCUGUAGAGAAAGAGGGAGAAGAAGCUUCAUCCACAUACGACAGCCCAGACACAGGGUCUGGUCUGUAUUGUGAAUGGGGAUCAUGA
rnacentral:snoRNA from 1 species